rnacentral:rRNA from 1 species
GAUGAACGCUGGCGGCGUGCCUAAUACAUGCAAGUCGAGCGAACAGACGAGGAGCUUGCUCCUCUGACGUUAGCGGCGGACGGGUGAGUAACACGUGGAUAACCUACCUAUAAGACUGGGAUAACUUCGGGAAGCCGGAGCUAAUACCGGAUAAUAUAUUGAACCGCAUGGUUCAAUAGUGAAAGGCGGUUUUGCUGUCACUUAUAGAUGGAUCCGCGCCGCAUUAGCUAGUUGGUAAGGUAACGGCUUACCAAGGCAACGAUGCGUAGCCGACCUGAGAGGGUGAUCGGCCACACUGGAACUGAGACACGGUCCAGACUCCUACGGGAGGCAGCAGUAGGGAAUCUUCCGCAAUGGGCGAAAGCCUGACGGAGCAACGCCGCGUGAGUGAUGAAGGUCUUCGGAUCGUAAAACUCUGUUAUUAGGGAAGAACAAAUGUGUAAGUAACUAUGCACGUCUUGACGGUACCUAAUCAGAAAGCCACGGCUAACUACGUG